rnacentral:ncRNA from 1 species
UCAUUGUGAAGCAGAAUUCACCCAAGCGUUGGAUUGUUCACCCAGCUAAUAGGGAACGUGAGCUGGGUUUAGACCGUCGUGAGACAGGUUAGUUUUACCCUACUGAUGAAGCGUUGUUGCCACAGUAAUCCUGCUCAGUACGAGAGGAACCGCAGAUUCAGACAUUUGGUUCAUGUGCUUGGCUGAUAAGCCAAUGGUGCGAAGCUACCAUCUAAGGGAUUAUGACUGAACGCCUCUAAGUCAGAAUCCCGCCUGGAAAGCGACGAUGCAUUCGUGCCUCGGCCUCGAGAGGCGUAGCUAGACGGCCGUGUGGCCGUGGAAAGAGCCCGAUUCCGACCCGAGAGGCCGCGGCAAGAGGCGGCCUCGAAGUCGGUGGAUCCUCCUGCUCGAAAGGCGGGGUGCUAAACCAUUCGCAGACGACCUAGUUGAAGAUCGGGGUGUCGUGAUCACUAGAGCAGUACAUCUCACUGCGAUUUGUUGAGAGUAAGCCUCAAGAUCUGUCGGUUUGU